CGGCGGACGGGUGAGUAACACGUGGAUAACCUACCUAUAAGACUGGGAUAACUUCGGGAAACCGGAGCUAAUACCGGAUAAUAUUUUGAACCGCAUGGUUCAAAAGUGAAAGACGGUCUUGCUGUCACUUAUAGAUGGAUCCGCGCUGCAUUAGCUAGUUGGUAAGGUAACGGCUUACCAAGGCAACGAUGCAUAGCCGACCUGAGAGGGUGAUCGGCCACACUGGAACUGAGACACGGUCCAGACUCCUACGGGAGGCAGCAGUAGGGAAUCUUCCGCAAUGGGCGAAAGCCUGACGGAGCAACGCCGCGUGAGUGAUGAAGGUCUUCGGAUCGUAAAACUCUGUUAUUAGGGAAGAACAUAUGUGUAAGUAACUGUGCACAUCUUGACGGUACCUAAUCAGAAAGCCACGGCUAACUACGUGCCAGCAGCCGCGGUAAUACGUAGGUGGCAAGCGUUAUCCGGAAUUAUUGGGCGUAAAGCGCGCGUAGGCGGUUUUUUAAGUCUGAUGUGAAAGCCCACGGCUCAACCGUGGAGGGUCAUUGGAAACUGGAAAACUUGAGUGCAGAAGAGGAAAGUGGAAUUCCAUGUGUAGCGGUGAAAUGCGCAGAGAUAUGGAGGAACACCAGUGGCGAAGGCGACUUUCUGGUCUGUAACUGACGCUGAUGUGCGAAAGCGUGGGGAUCAAACAGGAUUAGAUACCCUGGUAGUCCACGCCGUAAACGAUGAGUGCUAAGUGUUAGGGGGUUUCCGCCCCUUAGUGCUGCAGCUACGCAUUAAGCACUCCGCCUGGGGAGUACGACCGCAAGGUUG
rnacentral:rRNA from 1 species